UACGUAGGGUGCAAGCGUUAAUCGGAAUUACUGGGCGUAAAGCGUGCGCAGGCGGUUGUGCAAGACAGAUGUGAAAUCCCCGGGCUCAACCUGGGAACUGCAUUUGUGACUGCACGGCUAGAGUGUGUCAGAGGGGGGUAGAGUUCCACGUGUAGCAGUGAAAUGCGUAGAUAUGUGGAGGAAUACCGAUGGCGAAGGCAGCCCCCUGGGAUAACACUGACGCUCAUGCACGAAAGCGUGGGGAGCAAACAGG
rnacentral:rRNA from 1 species